UACAGAGGUCUCAAGCGUUUGUUCGGAUUCAUUGGGCGUAAAGGGUGCGUAGGUGGCGCGCUAAGUCAGGUGUGAAAUUUCGGGGCUUAACUCCGAAACUGCAUUUGAUACUGGUGUGCUUGAGGACUGGAGAGGAGACUGGAAUUUACGGUGUAGCAGUGAAAUGCGUAGAGAUCGUAAGGAAGACCAGUGGCGAAGGCGGGUCUCUGGACAGUUCCUGACACUGAGGCACGAAGGCCAGGGGAGCAAACGGG
rnacentral:rRNA from 1 species